rnacentral:rRNA from 1 species
GAGUUUGAUCGUGGCUCAGGACGAACGCUGGCGGCGCGCCUAACACAUGCAAGUCGAACGGAGUUUGUUGGAUUGAUCCUUCGGGAGAUUGAUAGCAAACUGAGUGGCGGACGGGUGAGUAACACGUGAGCAACCUGCCUUUCAGAGGGGGAUAACGUCUGGAAACGGACGCUAAUACCGCAUAACAUAAGAGGAGGGCAUCCUUCUUUUAUCAAAGGAGCAAUCCGCUGAAAGAUGGGCUCGCGUCCGAUUAGGCAGUUGGCGGGUAACGGCCC